UGUGUAGGCGGUUGUUUAAGUUUGGUGUGAAAUCUCCCGGCUCAACUGGGAGGGUGCGCCGAAUACUGAAUGACUUGGAGUGCGGGAGAGGAAAGUGGAAUUCCUGGUGUAGCGGUGAAAUGCGUAGAUAUCAGGAGGAACACCGGUGGUGUAGACGGCUUUCUGGACCGUAACUGACGCUGAGACACGAAAGCGUGGGUAGCAAACAGGAUUAGAUACCCUGGUAGUCCACGCCCUAAACGAUGCAUAUUUGGUGUGGGCAGUUCAUUCUGUCCGUGCCGGAGCUAACGCGUUAAGUAUGCCGCCUGGGGAGUACAGUCGCAAGGCUGAA
rnacentral:rRNA from 1 species